GUUUUUAUCAUCAAUAAUCAUUCAAACAAUAAUAUAAUCGGGUAUCAAAAACAUAGAAAAGAAGGUCAUAUAAGACAUGUAAAACAUGUCUAUGCAACAACCCCCUCAUCUACAGGAGUGCACAGGUGAGUGGAGAUUUAGAUUAUUUGUAAGGAGUGCACAUUUACUCAAAAGAGUCAGCACAUCCUUAACAUCACUAAUGAUCCUUCCGCAGGUUCACCUACGGAAA
rnacentral:misc_RNA from 1 species